rnacentral:rRNA from 1 species
UACGAAGGGAGCUAGCGUUGCUCGGAAUCACUGGGCGUAAAGCGCACGUAGGCGGAUUGUUAAGUCAGGGGUGAAAUCCUGGAGCUCAACUCCAGAACUGCCUUUGAUACUGGCGAUCUUGAGUCCGGGAGAGGUGAGUGGAACUGCGAGUGUAGAGGUGAAAUUCGUAGAUAUUCGCAAGAACACCAGUGGCGAAGGCGGCUCACUGGCCCGGUACUGACGCUGAGGUGCGAAAGCGUGGGGAGCAACAGG